rnacentral:lncRNA from 1 species
CACGGAGGUAACAGUGCUGGACCCAUGAAAGUCACAAUGGGGCCAGGCUGGGCUGGGACAGUGGCCCCUCUCUGAGGGAUGGGGGUGGGAGUCUGCUCCAUGCUUUGGGCAGCUCUCAGGUGGAGUCUCUCUCCCUCUAAGACCGCAGCCUGGGAAGGUUGGAGCUCAAACGAGCACCUGUUGAGUUGCCGUGAGCUGCUUGGAUGUUGCCUCUGCCACCUGCCAGCCUCCCUGAUGGACAGAGUCCCCUCUCGGCUUGGACAGGAACGAGGUGACCAAUGGUCGGUGGCUCCGUAGUCCCACCCCACAGCUGGCUUCUCUGAGCCCUGCACAGUGGCAUCUCCAGGACACCUGCUGCCUCCAUCUAUUGGCAGAGCCGACAGCCCGCGGAGCAGGAAGCCUGAUUCCCAACCAGGCUCAUUGCUGUGUGUCUGUAAUUAAGGCCCUUGACAUCUCUGAACCUCAUUCUGCAGUUUCAGACAUCCAGGCCAGGCACCGGGCCUUCCCUCCUUCACAAGGCAGAGGGUACAAUGAGCUCACAUCCAGCGGCAUGCCCAGGGACUGGCAGAGAGCCAGCAUCCUACAAAUCCACAGGUAAAGACGGUUCCUGUUUCCACAACAGAGUCUCCACGCUGCCUCCCACUUUCAAACCAGAAACUCUCGAGUAGACAGAGAUGCCUUGUGAUCCAAUGAAGCCUGGCCCUGCCCAAAGAUCACCACUCUGCCCAUCCUAGGGGAUCCAGAAAUGCUUCUGAAUUUGUCCUCUGAGGACCUGGACCACGUCAAGAUUUGGAUGUUCAUUGGGAAGCUGUACUAGUCUGUUCUCACGUUGCUAAUAAAGACAUACCCAGGGCCAGGCAAGGUGGCUCACGCCUGUAAUCCCAGCACUUUGGGAGGCCAAGGUGGAUGGAUCACAAGGUCAGGAGUUCAAGACCAGCCUGCCCAAUGUGAUGAAAUCCAAUCUCUACCAAAAAUUCAAAAAAUUAGCCGGGCGUGGUGCUGGGCACCUGUAAUCCCAGCUACUCAGGAGGCUGAGGCAGAGAAUGGCUUGAACCUGGGAGGUGGAGGUUGCAGUGAGCCGAGAUCACACCACUGCACUCCAGCCUGGGUGACAGAGCG